CAGGCUACAAUAAAUGACUCACGCAGCAACGGACAAAUGUUCUGUUUGCACCAAUGCCUGAAGACGAAUAUAAAAUAAGUGCAGUAAACCGAGCAUUCAUCCUCCCAUCCAGGGACUAAAUCACACGCAUCCCACGUCUCAGUGUAUAUAAGCGCUCUCAUACUGGAGAUCCUCCUCUGCUUUGACAGGCGCUGAACGCUCAGCCUCUAGUACGAAAGCGCGAGCCCGGCGCACGUCAAAACCGCCCGCAUCUUUCCAAAGCAAGACCGAAACCGAAUCCCAGCAUCUUUUUUUGGUUGCUGUCCGAGGGUUCUCGUUUGUGCAGCGAGCUCCUAGACCAGUUCGGACUGUCUAAAAGCGGCUAGUGUUGAAGGACAGAAGAGGAGCUGGUUUCGAUAGCGGGACAAAAGAUGCUGCUUGGUCUUCAGUGACGGUUCUGGUCCACCUUAUGGGUUUUACACACAGAAACACAGCACUGCACUCGUGUUCUUGGUCACGAGUUUAAAACGGGAUCCGUUUGUGCUUCUUUUGUCUCCCACGUGCGAAAAAGUGGAUCCGAAUUUGAGGAGUGUCAGCGGAGCAGGCCUGUGCAAGACAGGGAGAGGAAAACUUCACAGAAGAUGAGGAAGAGCCGGAGUGUUCUAACUGUGUCACCUAAUGAGGAUAGUAAAGAGCCACCGGAUAGCAGACUGAGUGAGUCUUUCACCUCUUCAGGUUGUACACUGGGGGUGGACCUGCGGCGACGACGACGGCGGUUUUCUGGUAACUUACAGUUGCCUCCUUUAUCAUGGAGGCAGAUGGAGAGGUCACGCAGUCCAGAUGACGAAUUCAUGGCAAGACCAACUACCCUGCCCUUCAUCACACCCCCGCGCAUCGAUAUCACGCCUGUGGACACCGAGUG
rnacentral:lncRNA from 1 species